rnacentral:lncRNA from 1 species
AUGAGAUUGAAGACAGAAGAUGACAAAUUCUGUCUAGUGCAGAUGUUGUGAUCCAGUCUUGAAUUAGGCCUCUGUUCGGAGUGGAUUCCCAAGAGAGCAUCACCUGGAUAGCUUAAUAGCAACACAGGGAGUAGCAUGCCACAACAAAUUACAUUGUUUUGCACAUUUUAAAAUGUGUUUGAGGGAGAAGCUAGUAAAAUAAAACCUACACCCAGGACAAACUUGUUGGGAGUGGAGAGAAGUUGAAAGUCUGGUGAUGGAAUUAAGUGGACUGCAGCCGUUCAUUCACUGCUCUUAGCAAAGGGUAUAUAUCACAGAUUAUAUGAUGGACUGAGGCCUCUCAGCCCAGCUGUGCAGCAUCCUCCUUCCUCUCUUUCACCCUCAUGUUGCGACUGUCCUUGGACUGGUCCAUCACCAAGAAUCACUUUGUAAUCUGAGCAACAGUAACAGCAAGGCUGAAUUGUCUUCUUUCUGUUCAGUGUUGACUUCCCUGGUCUCAAUAACCACCAAAUGUCUGAAACUGGCACACAGUUCAGAAAACUCUUAUUUUUUAUUUCUUAAUUGAUCUGACACUUAACAGCAUUUGUUUCAAAAGGUUAAAAUCUGUUCCUAUAACUAAUCGUAUCUUCUCUAAAGCCCGUUUUCUUUAGCGAAUAUCUGGUCUGGCCUCUGGCUGACUUUCUGUCUUCACAAAUUUCUCUAAAAUUCCCUAUCCUCCCACCUUUCAUUUCAGCAAGGGUCCCUAGGAAGACUCCUACAAAUCUAUCACUGAGAAUGGCAGCUGGGGAGAGCAGCCAUUUCCCACUCCUCCAGAAGCAAACUGUUAUGCCACAUUCUCUUAAAGUAUAUUCUCCUCCCAAGGCAAGCACAGAGCUCCCAUCAACACUAAUGCACACUCAGAGAAUGACAUAUUUGGUGCCAACUACAGAGGCUUCAACCAAGGUAGUCAAGAAAGGACUCCAAAGAAGCCAUACUGACCUUGCUGAGAAAUUCCACUCCUGGAAGAGCUGCAUGCAGCAUUGA